UACGUAGGGGGCAAGCGUUGUCCGGAUUCAUUGGGCGUAAAGAGCGUGUAGGCGGCUAGUUAAGUCUUACGUGAAAUCUCGGGGCUCAACCCCGAGCGGUCGUGAGAAACUGGCAGGCUAGAGUGCGGGAGAGGAGAGUGGAAUUCCUGGUGUAGCGGUGAAAUGCGCAGAUAUCAGGAAGAACACCCGUGGCGAAGGCGGCUCUCUGGGACGGUACUGACGCUGAGACGCGAAAGCGUGGGGAGCGAACAGG
rnacentral:rRNA from 1 species